rnacentral:rRNA from 1 species
UGAGUAACACGUAAGAAUUUGCCUUUAGGAGGGGGACAACAACUGGAAACGGUUGCUAAUACCCCAUAUGCUUUCGAGUGAAAUGGAUUUUUCCGCCUAAAGAGAAAGCUUGCGGCUGAUUAGCUUGUUGGUGAGGUAAUGGCUCACCAAGGCGACGAUCAGUAUCNGGUUUGAGAGGAUGAUCAGACACACUGGAACUGAGACACGGUCCAGACUCCUACGGGAGGCAGCAGUGGGGAAUUUUCCGCAAUGGGCGAAAGCCUGACGGAGCAAUCUCGCGUGAGGGAUGACGGCCUAUGGGUUGUAAACCUCUUUUUCAGGGAGGAACAAAAUGACGUGUACCUGAAGAAUAAGCACCGGCUAACUACGUG